UACAGAGGUCUCAAGCGUUGUUCGGAUUCAUUGGGCGUAAAGGGUGUGUAGGUGGCGCCGUAAGUCGGGUGUGAAAUUUCGGAGCUUAACUCCGAAACUGCAUUCGAUACUGCGGUGCUUGAGGACUAGAGAGGAGACUGGAAUUUACGGUGUAGCGGUGAAAUGCGUAGAUAUCGUAAGGAAGACCAGUGGCGAAGGCGGGUCUCUGGACAGUUCCUGACGCUGAGGCACGAAGGCCAGGGGAGCAAACGGG
rnacentral:rRNA from 1 species